rnacentral:rRNA from 1 species
AGGCGACGACGGGUAGCCGGCCUGAGAGGGCGACCGGCCACACUGGGACUGAGACACGGCCCAGACUCCUACGGGAGGCAGCGGUGGGGAAUGUGGCACAUUGGAGAAACCUCUGACGCAGCGACGCCGCGUGAGGGAUG